AGUGAACGCUGGCGGUAGGCCUAACACAUGCAAGUCGAACGGCAGCACAGUAAGAGCUUGCUCUUACGGGUGGCGAGUGGCGGACGGGUGAGGAAUACAUCGGAAUCUACUUUUUCGUGGGGGAUAACGUAGGGAAACUUACGCGAAUACCGCAUACGACCUACGGGUGAAAGCAGGGGAUCUUCGGACCUUGCGCGAUUGAAUGAGCCGAUGUCGGAUUAGCUAGUUGGCGGGGUAAAGGCCCACCAAGGCGACGAUCCGUAGCUGGUCUGAGAGGAUGAUCAGCCACACUGGAACUGGGCCACGGUCCAGACUCCUACGGGAGGCAGCAGUGGGGAAUAUUGGACAAUGGGCGCAAGCCUGAUCCAGCCAUACCGCGUGUGUGAAGAAGGCCUUCGGGUUGUAAAGACCUUUUGUUGGGAAAGAACAGCAGCAGGUUAAUACCCCGCUGUUCUGACGGUACCCAAAGAAUAAGCACCGGCUAACUUCGUG
rnacentral:rRNA from 1 species